UGUGUCGUAUCCAAUUUUAGUAUAUGUGUUAGCGAACUAACACAAUCCUGGCUAGGCCGGUUAGCUUUGAUAUGAACGACUCAAUAAGAUGACCCCCUGCAUUCAUGGUGCAGGUUUCCCACGUCUUACAGGCAGUCGAAACAAUGAAAAUGCUUUAGGUGACUUAGGGAAAACACAAGACUGAGGUCUGGAUCUUGGGAAGUGCAGCUUAAAAAUUGAGAUCAGGGGGACUGUUUUCAAAAAUAAAACUCAUGUUGACGGUUUGUAACGAUUCACGUCAUCCUUGUUAAGUGUCAGACGGCACUGAGUGACCUGCUGCUCACGUGGUACUCUGCUCUCGCCUUAGGGGUGCUGCCUUUUCCUUUUUUGUCGUGGAAGUUUAGAAAUGUUAUGUGGGGCUGAAAAAUUGGUAACGCUUCACGAGUUUGCGUGUUAUCCUUGCGCCAGGGGCCAUGCUAAUCUUCUCUGUAUCGUAUCCAAUUAUAGUAUAUGUGUUAGCGUACUAACACAAUCCUACCAGCACGGUUAGCAUUCAUAUGAACGACUCGCUACAAUGACCCCCUGCAGUCAUGGUUCAGGUUUCCCACGUCUUACAGGCAGUCGAAACAAUGAAAAUGCUUUAGGUGACUUAGGGAAAACACAAGACUGAGGUCUGGAUCUUGGGAAGUGCAGCUUAAAAAUUGAGAUCAGGGGGACUGUUUUCAAAAAUUAAACUCAUGUUUGUAAUGAUUCAUGUCAUCCUUGUUAAGUGUCAGACGGCACUGAGUGACCUGCUGCUUGCAUGGUACUCCGCUCUCGCUGUAGGGGUUUGUAACGAUUCAUGUCAUCCUUGUUAAGUGUCAGACGGCACUGAGUGACCUGCCGCUUGCGUGGUACUCUAUCGCAGUAGGGGUUUGUAACGAUUCAUGUCAUCCUUGUUAAGUGUCAGACGGCACUGAGUGACCUGCUGCUCGCGUGGUACUCUGCUCUCGCCUCAGGGGUGCUGCCUUUUCCUUUUUUAUCGUGGAAGUUUAGAAAUGUUAUAUGGGGCUGAAAAAUUGGUAACGCUUCACGAAUUUGCGUGUUAUCCUUGCGCCAGGGGCCAUGCUAAUCUUCUCUGUGUCGUAUCCAAUUUUAGUAUAUGUGUUAGCGAACUAACACAAUCCUGUCAAGGCCGGUUAGCUUUGAUAUGAACGACUCAAUAAGAUGACCCCCUGCAUUCAUGGUGCAGGUUUCCCACGUCUUACAGGCAGUCGAAACAAUGAAAAUGCUUUAGGUGACUUAGGGAAAACACAAGACUGAGGUCUGGAUCUUGGGAAGUGCAGCUUAAAAAUUGAGAUCAGGGGGACUGUUUUCAAAAAUAAAACUCAUGUUUGUAAUGAUUCACGUCAUCCUUGUUAAGUGUCAGACAGCACUGAGUGACCUGCUGCUUGCGUGGUACUCCGCUCUCGCAGUAGGGGUUUGUAACGAUUCAUGUCAUCCUUGUUAAGUGUCAGACGGCACUGAGUGACCUGCUGCUCGCGUGGUACUCUGCUCUCGCCUUAGGGGUGCUGCCUUUUCCUUUUUUAUCGUGGAAGUUUAGAAAUGUUAUAUGGGGCUGAAAAAUUGGUAACGCUUCACGAAUUUGCCUGUCAUCCUUGCGCAGGGGCCAUGCAAAUCUUCUAUGUAUCGUAUCCAAUUUUAGUAUAUGUGUUAGCGUACUAACACAAUCUUACCAGCAUGGUUAGCAUUCAUAUGAACGACUCGCUACAAUGACCCCCUGCAGUCAUGGUUCAGGUUUCCCACGUCUUACAGGCAGUCGAAACAAUGAAAAUGCUUUAGGUGACUUAGGGAAAACACGAGACUGAGGUCUGGAUCUUGGGAAGUGCAGCUUAAAAAUUGAGAUCAGGGGGACUGUUUUCAAAAAUAAAACUCAUGUUUGUAAUGAUUCAUGUCAUCCUUGUUAAGUGUCAGACGGCACUGAGUGACCUGCUGCUUGCGUGGUACUCCGCUCUCGCAGUAGGGGUUUGUAACGAUUCAUGUCAUCCUUGUUAAGUGUCAGACGGCACUGAGUGACCUGCUGCUCGCGUGGUACUCUGCUCUCGCCUCAGGGGUGCUGCCUUUUCCUUUUUUAUCGUGGAAGUUUAGAAAUGUUAUAUGGGGCUGAAAAAUUGGUAACGCUUCACGAAUUUGCGUGUCAUCCUUGCGCCAGGGGCCAUGCUAAUCUUCUCUGUAUCGUAUCCAAUUUUAGUAUAUGUGUUAGCGAACUAACACAAUCCUGGCAAGGCCGGUUAGCUUUGAUAUGAACGACUCGAUAAGAUGACCCCCUGCAGUCAUGGUGCAGGUUUCCCACGUCUUACAGGCAGUCGAAACAAUGAAAAUGCUUUAGGUGACUUAGGGAAAACACAAGACUGAGGUCUGGAUCUUGGGAAGUGCAGCUUAAAAAUUGAGAUCAGGGGGACUGUUUUCAA